rnacentral:rRNA from 1 species
AUUGAACGCUGGCGGCAUGCCUUACACAUGCAAGUCGAACGGUAACAGGUCUUCGGAUGCUGACGAGUGGCGAACGGGUGAGUAAUACAUCGGAACGUGCCUAGUAGUGGGGGAUAACUACUCGAAAGAGUGGCUAAUACCGCAUGAGAUCUACGGAUGAAAGCAGGGGAUCGCAAGACCUUGUGCUACUAGAGCGGCCGAUGGCAGAUUAGGUAGUUGGUGGGAUAAAAGCUUACCAAGCCGACGAUCUGUAGCUGGUCUGAGAGGACGAUCCGCCACACUGGGACUUAGACACGGCCCAGACUCCUACGGGAGGCAGCAGUGGGGAAUUUUGGACAAUGGGCGCAAGCCUGAUCCAGCAAUGCCGCGUGCAGGAUGAAGGCCUUCGGGUUGUAAACUGCUUUUGUACGGAACGAAAAGCCCUGGGUUAAUACCCUGGGGUCAUGACGGUACCGUAAGAAUAAGCACCGGCUAACUACGUGCCAGCCGCCGCAGUAAAAC